rnacentral:rRNA from 1 species
GACGAACGCUGGCGGCGUGCUUAACACAUGCAAGUCGAACGGUAAGGCCUUUCGGGGUACACGAGUGGCGAACGGGUGAGUAACACGUGGGUGAUCUGCCCUGCACUUCGGGAUAAGCCCGGGAAACUGGGACUAAUACCGGAUAGGACUGCGCGGUGCAUGCCGUGUGGUGGAAAGAUUUAUCGGUGCAGGAUGGGCCCGCGGCCUAUCAGCUCGUUUGUGGGGUAAUGGCCUACCAAGGCGACGACGGGUAGCCGGCCUGAGAGGGCGAACGGCCACACUGGGACUGAGAGACGGCCCAGACUCCUACGGGAGGCAGCGGUGGGGAAUAUUGCACAAUGGGCGCAAGCCUGAUGCAGCGACGCCGCGUGAGGGAUGACGGCCUUCGGGUUGUAAACCUCUUUCAGCAGGGACGAAGCGUGAGUGACGGUACCUGCAGAAGAAGCACCGGCCAACUACGUG